rfam:Sus scrofa chromosome X.
UCCCAGGUGGUCUAAUAGUUAGGAUUUGGCACUUUCACCACUGUGGCCUGGAUUCAAUCCCCAGUCUGGGAA